UGGAAUCGCUAGUAAUCGCAGAUCAGAAUGCUGCGGUGAAUACGUUCCCGGGUCUUGUACACACCGCCCGUCACACCAUGGGAGUUGGAAAUGCCCGAAGUCAGUGACCGAACCGAAAGGAAGGAGCUGCCGAAGGUGGAGCCGAUGACUGGGGUGAAGUCGUAACAAGGUAAC
rnacentral:rRNA from 1 species